rnacentral:rRNA from 1 species
GGCGAACGCUGGCGGCGUGCUUAACACAUGCAAGUCGAACGGAAAGGCCCUGCUUGCAGGGUACUCGAGUGGCGAACGGGUGAGUAACACGUGGGUGAUCUGCCCUGCACUUCGGGAUAAGCUUGGGAAACUGGGUCUAAUACCGGAUAGGAGCCAUCUUUAGUGUGGUGGUUGGAAAGUUUUUUCGGUGUAGGAUGAGCUCGCGGCCUAUCAGCUUGUUGGUGGGGUAAUGGCCUACCAAGGCGGCGACGGGUAGCCGGCCUGAGAGGGUGUACGGCCACAUUGGGACUGAGAUACGGCCCAGACUCCUACGGGAGGCAGCAAUGGGGAAUAUUGCACAAUGGGCGCAAGCCUGAUGCAGCGACGCCGCGUGGGGGAUGAAGGCCUUCGGGUUGUAAACUCCUUUCGCUAGGGACGAAGCUUUUUUGUGACGGUACCUAGAUAAGAAGCACCGGCUAACUACGUG